AACGAACGCUGGCGGCAUGCCUAACACAUGCAAGUCGAACGAGACCUUCGGGUCUAGUGGCGCACGUGUGCGUAACGCGUUGGAACCUGCCCUUAGGUUCGGAAUAACUCCCCGAAAUGGGUGCUAAUACCGGAUAAUGUCUUCGGACCAAAGAUUUAUCGCCUUUGGAUGGGUCCGCGUUGGUUUAGCUAGUUGGUAGGGUAAAAGCCUACCAAGGCGACGAUCCAUAGCUGGUCUGAGAGGAUGAUCAGCCACAAUGGGACUGAGACACGGCCCAGACUCCUACGGGAGGCAGCAGUAGGGAAUAUUGGACAAUGGGCGAAAGCCUGAUCCAGCAAUGCCGCGUGAGUGAUGAAGGCCUUAGGGUUGUAAAGCUCUUUUACACGGGAUGAUAAUGACAGUACCGGGAGAAUAAGCUCCGGCUAACUCCGUG
rnacentral:rRNA from 1 species